AGGAUGAACGCUGGCGGCGUGCUUAACACAUGCAAGUCGAACGAUGAAGGCUGGAGCUUGCUCUGGCUGGAUUAGUGGCGAACGGGUGAGUAACACGUGAGUAACCUGCCCCAGACUCUGGGAUAAGCGCUGGAAACGGCGUCUAAUACCGGAUACGAGCUUCCACCGCAUGGUGAGGAGCUGGAAAGAAUUUCGGUCUGGGAUGGACUCGCGGCCUAUCAGCUUGUUGGUGAGGUAAUGGCUCACCAAGGCGACGACGGGUAGCCGGCCUGAGAGGGUGACCGGCCACGACUGGGACUGAGACACGGCCCAGACUCCGUACGGGAGGCAGCAGUGGGG
rnacentral:rRNA from 1 species